rnacentral:rRNA from 1 species
ACACGGGACCGUGCCGGGUCCGUUAAGCCGGAGGAAGUGGGGAGUGAUGUCAAGUCAGCAUGGCCUUUAUAUCCUGGGCUACACACACGCUACAAUGGCCAACACAAUAGGUUGCUAAGCCGCGAGGUGGCGCCAAUCCAUAAAGUUGGUCUCAGUUCAGAUUGUAGGCUGCAACCCGCCUGCAUGAAGAUGGAGUUGCUAGUAACCGCAGGUCAGCUAUACUGCGGUGAAUACGCUCCCGGGGCCUU